rnacentral:ncRNA from 3 species
UCGAGGAGCUCACAGUCU